GGUCAUAGCUCAGUGGUAGAGCAUCUGCUUUGUAAACAGAAGGUCCCAGUUUCAAUCCCUGGCAUCUCCA